GACAGAGGUGCCGAGCGUUAGGCGGAAUCACUGGGCUUAAAGCGUGUGUAGGCGGGCGGGCAAGUACCUUGUGAAAUCCCACGGCUCAACCGUGGAACGGCUGGGUAUACUGCCUGUCUUGAGCCAACUAGGGGCGAGCGGAACAGACGGUGGAGCGGUGAAAUGCGUGGAUAUCGUCUGGAACGCCGAAGGUGAAAACAGCUCGCUGGGGUUGUGCUGACGCUGAGACACGAAAGCCAGGGGAGCGAACGGGG
rnacentral:rRNA from 1 species